AAGGAGCCAGCGGCCGAAGGUGGGAUUAGUGAUUGGGGUGAAGUCGUAACAAGGUAGCCGUAGGAGAACCUGCGGCUGGAUCACCUCCUUUCUAGGGAGU
rnacentral:rRNA from 1 species